rnacentral:rRNA from 1 species
CCUACGGGUGGCAGCAGUGGGGAAUCUUUGGCAAUGGGCGCAAGCCUGACCCAGCAACGCCGCGUGAAGGAAGAAGGCUCUCGGGUUGUAAACUUCUUUUAAGAGGGAAGCGCAGAAGACGGUACCUCUUGAAUAAGCAACGGCUAACUACGUGCCAGCAGCCGCGGUAAUACGUAGGUGGCAAGCGUUGUCCGGAUUUACUGGGUGUAAAGGGCGUGUAGCCGGGCUGACAAGUCAGAUGUGAAAUCCCGUGGCUCAACCACGGAACUGCAUUUGAAACUGUCGGUCUUGAGGAUCGGAGAGGCAGGCGGAAUGCCUGGUGUAGCGGUGAAAUGCGUAGAUAUUAGGAGGAACACCAGUGGCGAAGGCGGCCUGCUGGACGACAACUGACGGCGAGGCGCGAAAGCGUGGGGAGCAAACAGGAUUAGAUACCCGAGUAGUC